CCAGGUGGAACUCCACAUUUCUUAUGUUGGAGUGUUUCGUGGCAGUCAAGGAGCCUGUCUCAGCUGCCAUGUCAUCCCUGGAUGCAUCUCUUACGAUGAUCUUUCACCAGGAGUGGGCGACCAUGGAGUAGGCAAUAAAGAUUCUGAAGCCCUUCUUUGUGGUGACGGAGGAGAUGUUGGCUGAGAAACAUGUGACGGCAUCAAAAGUUAUCAUCCUGGUGAGGAAUCUGCAAAGGAUAACUGCCACUGCUGCCCAGCAGAAUCCACCUGGGACCACAGCACACAACUUGGCAGAUGCUCUGAACAAAUCAAUUUGGAAGAGAUGCCAGGAGUCAAGGCGCUUCUUUGGCAUUACAACGCUUUUGGACCUGCGUUUCAAAGCUCUUGCCUUUGGCAUUUAAAGAAAUAUGGAUGAAGCCGUUAAAGCACUCUCCACAGAAGCUUCACAUCUUACGGAAGCAGGGAGCUCUCAGACUGUUGCGACGGGGGCAGACAGUACCGAACCUGAUGACGUCUGGAAAGAGUUUGAUGCAAAGGUAACACAACAGAAUCCAAAUAAGGACUGCCACCGAGCUCAAGAUGUACCCCCGAAGUCCUCUUCAGUUUUGGAACUCGGAAGGUGUCAGAUUCCCCCAUCUGAUGAAGCUGGUGUGGAAAUACCUGUGUAUGCCAGCGACAUCAGUGCCGAGUGAGAGGGUGUUCUCAAGACUGAAGGCCAAGGAGGACAACAUGACUCUCUUCCUGUACUGCAAUGUGUAGUUGAAGGAGAAAUUAUUGGUGUGAGGUGGUUAGUAAGAAAAUAGUUCUUGU